GCAGUCGCCGCGGUAAUACGAGGGGGGCAAGCGUUGUUCGGAAUUAUUGGGCGUAAAGGGCGCGUAGGCGGUUUGACAAGUCUGAUGUGAAAUCUCUGGGCUCAACCCAGAGUCUGCAUCGGAAACUGUCGAGCUUGAGUAUGGGAGAGGUGAGUGGAAUUUCCGGUGUGGCGGUGAAAUGCGUAGAUAUCGGAAGGAACACCUGUGGCGAAAGCGGCUCACUGGACCAUUACUGACGCUGAGGCGCGAAAGCUAGGGGAGCAAACAGGAUUAGAUACCCGAGUAGUCCCUGUCUCUUAUAA
rnacentral:rRNA from 1 species